rnacentral:rRNA from 1 species
AGUGGAGCAAUCCAUGAGUAAAGUGGCGUACGGGUGAGUAACACGUGGGUAAUCUACCUCUUGGUGGGGAAUAACUCUGGGAAACCGGAGCUAGUACCGCAUAAGCUUGAGAGAGGAAAGGCGAAAGUCGCCGAGAGAGGAGCCCGCGGCCGAUUAGCUAGUUGGUAGGGUAAAGGCCUACCAAGGCGAAGAUCGGUAGCCGGCCUGAGAGGGCACACGGCCACACUGGCACUGAAACACGGGCCAGACUCCUACGGGAGGCAGCAGUGGGGAAUCUUGCACAAUGGGGGAAACCCUGAUGCAGCGACGCCGCGUGAGUGAUGACGCCCUUCGGGGUGUAAAGCUCUUUCGGCAGGGACGAUAAUGUCGGUACCUGAAGAAGAAGCUGCGGCUAACUACGUGCCAGCAGCCGCGGUAAUACGUAGGCAGCGAGCGUUGUUCGGAGUUACUGGGCGUAAAGCGUGCGUAGGCUGUGGUCCAAGUCUGGUGUGAAAUCUCCCGGCUCAACUGGGAGGGUGCGCUAGAAACUGGGCUGCUGGAGUGUGGGAGAGGUAAGCGGAAUUCCUGGUGUAGCGGUGAAAUGCGUAGAUAUCAGGAGGAACACCUGCGGUGUAGACGGCUUACUGGACCAUGACUGACGCUGAGGCACGAAAGCGUGGGGAGCAAACAGGAUUAGAUANCCUGGUAGUCCACGCCCUAAACGAUGCAUACUUGGUGUGGGCAGUUCAGUCUGUCCGUGCCGGAGCU